rnacentral:tRNA from 1 species
GGGGGUAGAGCUCAGUGGUAGAGCACGUGCUUGGCGUGCAUAAGGUCCUAGGUUCAAUCCCCAGUGCCUCCA